rnacentral:rRNA from 1 species
GACGAACGCUGGCGGCGUGCCUAAUACAUGCAACUUAGAACGCUGAAGAGAGGAGCUUGCUCUUCUUGGAUGAGUUGCGAACGGGUGAGUAACGCGUAGGUAACCUGCCUGGUAGCGGGGGAUAACUAUUGGAAACGAUAGCUAAUACCGCAUAAUAGCAGUUAUUGCAUGAUAACUGUUUGAAAGGUGCAAAUGCAUCACUCCCAGAUGGACCUGCGUUGUAUUAGCUAGUUGGUGGGGUAACGGCUCACCAAGGCGACGAUACAUAGCCGACCUGAGAGGGUGAUCGGCCACACUGGGACUGAGACACGGCCCAGACUCCUACGGGAGGCAGCAGUAGGGAAUCUUCGGCAAUGGACGGAAGUCUGACCGAGCAAUGCCGCGUGAGUGAAGAAGGUUUUCGGAUCGUAAAGCUCUGUUGUAAGAGAAGAACGAGUGUGAGAAGUGGAAAG